rnacentral:rRNA from 1 species
UACAGAGGUCUCAAGCGUUGUUCGGAUUCAUUGGGCGUAAAGGGUGCGUAGGUGGCGGGGUUAGUCAGGUGUGAAAUCUCGGGGCUCAACCCCGAAACUGCACUUGAUACUGCCUUGCUAGAGUACUGGAGAGGAGAUUGGAAUUUACGGUGUAGCAGUGAAAUGCGUAGAUAUCGUAAGGAAGACCAGUGGCGAAGGCGGGUCUCUGGACAGUUCCUGACGCUGAGGCACGAAGGUCAGGGGAGCAAACGGG